rnacentral:rRNA from 1 species
UACCUGCGGGCGCAGCAGUGAGGAAUAUUGGUCAAUGGGCGAGAGCCUGGACCAGCCAAGUCGCGUGAGGGAGUACUGCCCUAUGGGUUGUAAACCUCUUUUGUCGGGGAGCAAAAGCCGGACGUGUCCGGCUGUGAGAGUACCCGAAGAAAAAGCAUCGGCUAACUCCGUGCCAGCAGCCGCGGUAAUCCGGAGGAUGCGAGCGUUAUCCGGAUUUAUUGGGUUUAAAGGGUGCGCAGGCGGUUUUUUAAGUCAGCGGUCAAAUCGUGGGGCUCAACCCCAUCCAGCCGUUGAAACUGGGGAUU